AAAUCGUUAUUCCACUGUGAUCUGCAGAAUUUUGCAUCAUCGGUUCCAGAAUGCAACUCUUGGGGGGAAAAAAAAUCAGUUUUAAGCUGCUUUGAUAAUAAAAAUAAAGCUUUCCUUUUAACAAUGUCUCUCAACCCCCUAGAAUUAAGAGAAACAAGUAAUAAAGACAUAAAAGAACGAAACAAAGAAAACAGAACAAAUUAGUGUACAGUAUAUAAGCAAGCAAUUAUAUAAGCAAGUAAAGGAUAUCAAUUGUCCAACCAACAUCACUUGCAACAGCAAAAAAAAAAUUGCCUAAAGUCAAGUUUUUGAAAACUCUGUAAAACAGCCUGUGCACUGAAACCAGCAACUUCAAGUAAAAAGCAACUUUAAAAAAACUUGAGAACCAUCACCAGUCUGAGGAAGUAGGACAUUAAAGCCAAACGGGUUCACAUGAAUAAACGUGCGAGCUCCCGUGAAGAAGGCAGUUUUCCUCGCAUCCCGUGCCUGUUUCACCAACAGCCACAGCCUGGAACGCCUCUCAAGAUCACCUUUUGAAAAGUCUUCCAUGAAGAGAAGUCCAUUAGCUUUGAGAAAGGCAGAAGUCUUAGCCCGCUUCCAGAUUUAGUUUCUUAUCGUUCGCGAUGUAAACAGAAUAGUGGUGGGAGUCAGCUGCACUCUUCUUGCCCAGACGAUGUGCGAUGUCAAGCACAGCUUGACAAAUCUUGAUGGCCUGCAGAUGCACAUUUUCAUCUUUAUCUUCUGAAACACCAAACAACCUUAGAUUCCAUCAUCUGCAGUAAGAUUCCAUCUCAUCCAUUCGCUGUUCAAGCAUUUUGACUGGCUUUUCUAAGGCAAGCAUGCGACCCUCCAUCUUACACAUCUUAUGCUCCAUCUCUUUAAUUUCAGCAAAAGCAGCUUCAACUUUCUUACUCAGCUCAUCGCUUCGAUUCUCUCAGUUUUGCCGCUCACCAACUUUUCAAUGCUAUCGGACCUUCUGUUGAUAAGCUGGGACAGCGUGACGAUAACAUCAGCAUCGGAAGAAAGGGUCUUCGUCACUUCUUCUUCGCUGCAGGUGAUUCGCUCGGGUCACCAGUAACUUCGGAAGUUCCUUUUCAUCCAUAAUCGCCUCUUCUAGAUCAUUCCCUUCAGUACAGCUUUGACUGUAUUCGUGACCACUACUAAGUAGCAUGCUGUCGCUAGUGUUGUCUUGAUUCGAAGAUGGGUUUAGAUUUCGGUUUCUUUUCUUCCCACCCAUCCAAAUUGACAUUAAAAAUCACUUUAGAUGGUAAGUUAAGGAGGCAGCAUUAUAGAAUCAAAAAAGUUAGGCUAACAUAUUUAAUUUUUGUGAUGACCAGCUCGACAAACAGCGUCAGUUCAGGUGGCCAUCUUGGUCCCGCCCCUCAACUCAGACAUUUAUAUUCAUCUUCUCUGGGUCAAAUGAUGACAUGGGGCCUGUUCUUCGUACAUCGCUAACUCAGUUAGCUGGAUUUGAUUGAUUACGAUUUGGCAUGAUCUUGGAUUGUUCGGUUCUUCGACGCUCAUCCUGGACUUAGCAACAGGUCCAUAAGCUCAAACCUGCUCGUGAGCAGCUUAUUUCAUGUAAACAGGAUUAGAUUGCUUCUUUUUAAGUGGAAUUGAUACUUAAAAUCUGUCCCAGAUUUGAUGCAGCACAGGAGAUGCAGAUAACUUGACUUUAUUAAAACUUUAAUUAAUGAUGUCACGUAACAAAUCUGCUUCAAAGAUAAAAUUAGAAGAAUUGCGAAUUACAACACUGAAAUAAAAAUAUACGACUGUACAAAUGCUUGUGAAUCUAAAUAAUUGGGAAUCAUGUAAAAAAAAAAAAAAAACAGUGCACAUUUCAUUUAUCUAUUAUAAUGUUUAUGUUGUAAUAUCAUUUUGUUCGCUUGGCUGUUUCAUUAUAAAGGUCCAGAAAUUGGUCAAGUUUUUCGUCAGGUGUCUUUUCUAAUUAUAUGAUGUCAUUACGUUGCCGUCUUGACUCCAGCCAAUCGCUGCACUGCUGAUCGUGGUCUCGAGUAUCGAUACAUCCGCCCUUUUCCAGGAAGUCGAGAACGCGCAGUAAUCUCAGACAACUUAAUCCUGAUAUCUUAAUCCAAUCCACAAAUUCAUUUGAAGAACCAAAUUAGCCACAGAUCAGUUAUCACGAUUAGAAGAUUUAUCUGUCAAAUCAUCUGUAUUUAGCGAGGUACGAAGAACGGACCCCUGUUCUUCAAAUAUUCAACAAACAUGACAAUGAGAUCAAAUCACAAUGUCUGACUGUUAUGAAAAUUAACAUAUUUGUGCUAAAAUGAGUCUGUGUAUCAAAUCCUGUGAGAUUCAGCCACAUGGUGGCGCUAUAAUAAGCAACAUAUUGUAAUAUUGAUGUUCUUUGUCACAGGAUAAGACAUCAGUCGAUCCCUUUUCCUCCUCAUUUCUUCAAUUAUUUCUUCAGUAUGUUUACUGCACUUCAAGAAGACGUGUUUCCUCACAUACACCACUGUUUAAUCCUGUAAGUCCCGUUCUAAGUUUUAAUAACACUAACUACAUGAUGGAAAGCUCUUUAUGCUCACGAGGAUUCAUUUGCCCAGUUCAGUGUUAUGAAGUAUUAUAAAUCUUCUGGGUCAGAGCCGGACGAGACGAGAGGCGUCGUGACGUCACACAGAUGCGGCGGCGGCGUGCGUGAUGACGCCAGCGGCUCUACCCAGCAUGCAAUGCACGAGUGAAGAUGGCGGAAGGCGGCGCGGCGGAUGUGGAGACGCAGAGAGGAGAGAUCGCGACGCUCCUGAAGACGCCGCUGCGCAGAGCAGACACCUGGUAUCUGGUGGACAGUCACUGGUUCAAGCAGUGGAAGAAGUAUGUGGGCUUCGACAGCUGGGACAAGUACCAGAUGGGUGAGCAGAGCGUGUACCCGGGACCGGUGGACAACCGCGGGCUGCUCAGAGAUGGGGACGCCACGGGCAUCAGAGAGCACCUGAUCGACGAGCUGGACUACAUCCUGCUGCCGGCCGACGGCUGGAGCCGCCUGGUGAGCUGGUAUGGCCUGACGGAGGGACAGGAGCCCAUCGCCCGCAAGGUGGUGGAGCAGGGCAUGUUCGUCAAACACUGUAAGGUGGAAGUCUACCUCACCGAGCUCAAGCUGUGUGAAGACGGAAACAUGGACAACAUCAUCACCAGACGCUUCAGCAAAGCAGACACUAUAGACACCAUCGAGCGAGAGAUGCGGAAGCUGUUCAGUAUUCCCGACGAGAAGGAGACGCGACUAUGGAACAAGUACAUGAGCAACACGUUUGAGCCGCUCAACAAGCCGGACAGCACCAUUCAGGACGCCGGGCUCUAUCAGGGACAGGUUCUAGUGAUCGAACAGAAGAAUGAAGACGGCUCGUGGCCUCGUGGCUCUUCGGCGCUCAAGUCAUCUGGUGCUUCUUCUCUCUCUGCUUUACCAAAGAUCUGCCCUUCAUCUCUCACAAACAAUCAUAACAGCAGCUUCAGCGGCCGCAACAUGAAGAACUCCAGCUACGGCCUGCCGUCCUACCCGCCGUACAGCAGCAGCUACGAGUACUCGGAUCAGGGCCGGCGCUCCGAGAAGGCUGGCCUCUGCGGCCUCUCCAACCUGGGAAACACCUGCUUCAUGAACUCGGCCACACAGUGCCUGAGUAAUGUCCCUCCUCUGACCGAGUUCUUCCUGAAGGACAAGUACCAGGAGGAGCUGAACGAGGACAAUCCUCUGGGAAUGAAGGGUGAGAUCGCCAAGGCCUACGCCGAGCUCAUCAAGCAGCUGUGGUCGGGGAAAUACAGCUAUGUCACGCCAAGACCCUUCAAGACUCAGGUGGGGCGAUUCGCGCCUCAGUUCUCGGGCUACCAGCAGCAGGACUCUCACGAGCUGCUGGCCUUCCUGCUCGACGGUCUUCACGAGGACCUGAACCGCAUCCGGAAGAAGCCCUACAUUCAGCUGAAGGACGCUGAAGGCCGACCCGACAAGGUGGUUGCAGAAGAAGCCUGGGAGAACCACAUCAAGAGGAACGACUCCAUCAUCGUGGACAUCUUCCACGGCCUCUUCAAGUCCACGCUGGUCUGUCCCGUGUGCGCCAAGAUCUCGGUGACCUUCGACCCCUUCUGCUACCUGACGCUUCCUCUGCCCAUGAAGAAGGAGCGGACGCUGGAGGUGUAUCUGGUGUGGCUGGACCCUCUGACCAAACCCACGCAGUACAAACUGACGGUGCCUAAAGUGGGCUGCAUCUCGGACCUGUGCGCGUCACUCUCGGCUCUGUCGGACGUCCCGGCUCAGAAGGUAACCGUCGUCGGCAUGAAGAAGGUAUUUCAUCUUCUUCACCUCAUUCACUGUGUUUCCUCUGCCCGUCCAGAUGAUCGUGACGGACAUAUACAACCACAGGUUUCACCGGAUAUUUGCCGCCAACGAGAACCUGAGCAGCAUCAUGGAUCGGGACGACAUCUAUGUGUUUCAGCUGGCCGUCAGCCGGCAGGAGGACACGGAUCACGUGGUGAUUCCUGUUCAUCUGCGGGAGAAAUACAAGCAGUCGGGCUUCAACCACACCAGCACGCCGCUGUUCGGCCAGCCCUUCCUGCUCAGCGUCCCGCGCACCAUCAGCGAGGACAAGCUCUACAACCUGCUCCUGCAGCGCCUCUGUCGUUUCGUUCGGCCGGCCGCUGAGGACGAGGAGUCGGAGGAGACGUUCUCGCCCAAACAUCACUCCAUCAACGGCAACGCCACCAAUGGUGAGAUGGAGACGGACGAGCCGGACGACGAGUCCAGCCAGGACCAGGAGUUGCCCUCGGAGAACGACAACAGCCAGUCGGAGGACUCGGUGGGCGGCGGGGACAACGAGCUGGAGAACGGCGUCCUGCCGGAGAACUGCAGCAAAGGCCCGACGCUCAACGGCCAGAAGAAGCGCCUCUUCACAUUCCAGUUCAACAACAUGGGAAAGACCGACGCCAACUUCAUCAAGGGAGAGGCGCG